ensembl:snRNA U2 U2 spliceosomal RNA
AUCACUUCUUGGUCUUUUGGCUAAGAUAAAGUGUAGUAUCAGUUCUUAUCAUUUUGGACAUACAUAAUGACCACAUUCAUCUUAGGAAAUUUUUACUUCUC